AAGUCGUAACAAGGUUUCCGUAGGUGAACCUGCGGAAGGAUCAUUAACACGUAUCCAAACGUUAAUACAACCCUGUGAACCUUCAGCGUGUUCUUGCAGGACAUCAAAACAGCAAUCCCGAGUAAAUCAUUACAGAUUUUGAUUUUGGGAAGUUCUGUCUGUCCGUGGACGCUGCAAUUGAGCGCUAGAUAAAGCACCCUGGUACCCUAGAGCAUCCCCUGUCUGAAAGCGGCAGGGAUCAAUGUUCAGGGUGGCGUAGGUCCACACGACCGGCGACCGGGGUGGAGGCGAAAGCCCCUACGUCAUCCCUAUGUACCCUCCGGGACUUGGCGAAAGCUGACUCCGUCAUAAAUUGAACAACUGUCAACAAUGGAUAUCUUGGUUCUC
rnacentral:misc_RNA from 1 species